UACGGAGGGUGCAAGCGUUAUCCGGAUUUACUGGGUUUAAAGGGUGUGUAGGCGGGCAAUUAAGUCAGUGGUGAAAUCUCCAGGCUCAACCUGGAAACUGCCAUUGAUACUAUUUGUCUUGAAUUCUGUUGAGGAGGGCGGAAUAAGUCAUGUAGCGGUGAAAUGCAUAGAUAUGACUUAGAACACCGAUAGCGAAGGCAGCUCUCUAAGCAGACAUUGACGCUGAGGCACGAAAGCGUGGGGAUCAAACAGG
rnacentral:rRNA from 1 species